GGUAAUGUACCCAAAAGAAAAAAAGUUGUAUGUACCUUAAUUCACUUGGAGAAACUGAUGUGCAUAUAAGGCAUUGCAGUGAUUUGGCCAGAACUUGUUUCAGGAAAAAAUGGUUUAAAUGUUUCAAGAGUCCAACGUAAAACAAUUUCCCACCCAAAACAAGAAGACAGUGUGUCGUGUGGAGUAUUUGUGUGUAAGUUUGCAGAGCUGAUCAUAAAAGGGAAUGCUAUAGAAUUUGAUAGUUCCAUUAGCGCAAUUAAUAGUAUUCGUUUUGAAAUAGCGCAACAACUUCUUCAAGAAAGUGGUAGAUGACCUGCAUGGACUUUGCAGAAGCUGUGGAGAAAGAGAGGACUUCCAAAGAAGUACAUCAACAGUCAACUGGGUACGUUGCGCAAAACAUACAUAACAUUUAUACCAACAAUCUUUAUUUUUUUUUGUCAUGACAAAACACUUUUAACUUCAAGGCUUAAGUGAACAA